rfam:Ixodes scapularis strain Wikel colony gcontig_1108379026414, whole genome shotgun sequence.
CCCUGGUUAGCUCAGUUGGUAGACCGUUCCACUUGUAAUGGAGAGGUCCCGGGUUCGAUACCCGGACUGGGCG